UCCGGCUUAUCACCGGCAGUUUCUUUAGAGUGCCCAACUAAAUGAUAGCAACUAAAGACGAGGGUUGCGCUCGUUGCGGACUUAACCCAACAUCUCACGACACGAGCUGACGACAGCCAUGCAGCAUCUGUGGUGCACCCUCGAAGGUCACACGUUUCCGUGCGCUUGCAGCACCAUGUCAAGCCCAGGUAAGGUUCUUCGCGUCGCAUCGAAUUAAACCACACGCUCCGCUGCUUGUGCGGGCCCCCGUCAAUUCCUUUGAGUUUCAACCUUGCGGUCGUACUUCCCAGGUGGGAUACUUAAUGCUUUCGCUCAGACACUUAUUGUAUAUCACAAAUGUCGAGUAUCCAUCGUUUAGGGCGUGGACUAC
rnacentral:misc_RNA from 1 species